rnacentral:rRNA from 1 species
AGUCGNCGGUAACAGGGAGCUUGCUCCGCUGACGAGUGGCGAACGGGUGAGUAAUAUAUCGGAACGUACCCAAGAGUGGGGGAUAACGUAGCGAAAGUUACGCUAAUACCGCAUACGAUCCAAGGAUGAAAGCAGGGGAUCUUCGGGCCUUGUGCUCCUGGAGCGGCCGAUAUCUGAUUAGCUAGUUGGUGAGGUAAAGGCUCACCAAGGCGACGAUCAGUAGCUGGUCUGAGAGGACNACCAGCCACACUGGAACUGAGACNCGAACCANACUCCUNCGGGAGGCAGCANNGGGNAGGGAGAGGCUAAUAUCCUUUCCUAAUGACGGUACCUGAAGAAUAAGCACCGGCUAACUACGUGCCAGCAGCCGCGGUAAUACGUAGGGUGCAAGCGUUAAUCGGAAUUACUGGGCGUAAAGCGUGCGCAGGCGGUUUUGUAAGUCUGUCGUGAAAUCCCCGGGCUCAACCUGGGAAUUGCGAUGGAGACUGCAAGGCUAGAAUCUGGCAGAGGGGGGUAGAAUUCCACGUGUAGCAGUGAAAUGCGUAGAGAUGUGGAGGAACACCGAUGGCGAAGGCAGCCCCCUGGGUCAAGAUUGACGCUCAUGCACGAAAGCGUGGGGAGCAAACAGGAUUAGAUACCCUGGUAGUCCACGCCCUAAACGAUGUCUACUAGUUGUCGGGUUUUAAUUAACUUGGUAACGCAGCUAACGCGUGAAGUAGACCGCCUGGGGAGUACGGUCGCAAGANUNAACUCAAAGGAACUGACGGGGACCCGCACAAGCGGUGGAUGAUGUGGAUUAAUUCGAUGCAACGCGAAAAACCUUACCUACCCUUGACAUGUACGGAAGGCCGGAGAGAUCU